rnacentral:rRNA from 1 species
UACGUAGGGAGCAAGCGUUGUCCGGAAUCAUUGGGCGUAAAGCGCGCGUAGGUGGCUCCAUAAGUCCGUUGUGAAAGUCAAAGGCUCAACCUUUGAAAGCCGAUGGAUACUGUGGAGCUAGAGUACGGAAGAGGCGAGUGGAAUUCCUGGUGUAGCGGUGGAAUGCGCAGAUAUCAGGAGGAACACCAAUAGCGAAGGCAGCUCGCUGGGACGUUACUGACGCUGAGACGCGAAAGCGUGGGGAGCGAACAGG